rnacentral:misc_RNA from 1 species
CUGCCCUCAAGCACGGCUUGUGUGUUGGGCUUCGCCCCCCGGCUCCCGGGGGGCGGGCCCGAAAGGCAGCGGCGGCACCGCGUCCGGCCCUCGGGCGUAUGGGGCUUCGUCCCCCGCUCUGUAGGCCCGGCCGGCGCCCGCCGGCGACCCCAAUCAAUCUUUCCA